GGGGGGGGGGCGGAAGGGGUGGGGGAGGGGGAGGGGGGGAGGAUCCUGGAAUUCGUUAUCUCGUGGGGCUUAUCAGCUGCUCUCUAGAUAAAUGCACGGAGAUUAAAUAAUUUCCCAUCAACGCUUUCCCCCCCACUUUGGAAAAACAAGACCCCAAGCCAAGAGAAAAAUCAAACUUUUCCCACCCCCCCGCCCCCUCCCCUCUAAACUUUGCCAAAGCUUUUUUUUUUUUGUGUCGUUUUUUUGUUAGUUUUUUUUUUUCUUCUUUUUUUGCUGCGGGAUUUUCCCCCCCUCCCCAGCCUCCCGACAUUCCCAAACAUGCUUCGAUCCAUGCGCUCCUCGCUCCCUCUCACCCGCAGCUCAGAGUCCGGGGGGAUCCGCCUGGCGGGGGGGGCUCUCCUGGCACGGCCUGGCACGGCUCGGGGUGGCACGGCCGCCGCUGGAGCCGUCCCGGCCCUUCUUCCUUUCAUUCCUUCCUCCUUUCCUUCCUUCCUCCUUUCCUCCUUUCCUUCCUUCCUUUCUCCGGGAGCGCCGCCGGGAUGGCCCCGCUGGAGCCGCCGCCUCCGAGCCCGACGGGGACACCGGGGGGACCCGGGCCACCCCUGGCAGGGACACCAGGAGGGACCCGGGGCCACCCCUGGCAGGGACACCUGGGGGUGUCAGAGGACCCGGAGCCACCUCCGAGCCUGGCAGGGACAACUGUGACCAUGCCAGGGACAUCAGGGUGGUGUCAGGAUCUGGAGCCACCUCCGAGCCUGGCAGGGACAACUGUGACCCUGCCGGGGACACCUGGGGAGGGUCAGGACCCGGGGCCACUCCCUGGCAGGGACACCUGGGGGGGGUUCAGGAUCUUGUGCCAAAUCCGAACCUGGCAGGGACAUCGGUGACCCUGCCGGGGACACCUGGGGGGUGUCAGAGGACCCGGGGCCACCUCCGAGCCUGGCAGGGACAACUGUGACCCCACCAGGGACACCUGGGGGGGACCCUGGGCCACCUUCCACCAGGGACACCUGGGGGGUGUCAGAGGACCCAGAGCCACCUCUGACCCUGGCAGGGACAACUGUGACCAUGCCAGGGACACCUGGGGGGGUUCAGGACCCGGGGCCACCUCCCUGCAGAGACACCUGGGGGUGUCAGAGGACCCAGAGCCACCUCCAAGCCUGGCAGGGACACCUGUGACCAUGCCAGGGACACCUGAGGGGGUUCAGGACCCGGGGCCACCUUCCACCAGGGACACCUGGGGGGUGUCAGAGGACCCAGAGCCACCUCUGACCCUGGCAGGGACACCUGUGACCCCACCAGGGACACCUGGGACUCGUCAGGACCUUGGGCCACCUCCGAGCGUGGCCGGGCCACCCGGGAGGUGCCACCCGGCGGCUCGGGGGCUCCGGGCCGUGGGCACCGCCGAGGUGCCGCGGCCGUGGCGGGGCGCGG
rnacentral:lncRNA from 1 species